rnacentral:rRNA from 1 species
AGAACGAACGCUGGCGGCAGGCCUAACACAUGCAAGUCGAGCGCCCAGCAAUGGGAGCGGCGGACGGGUGCGUAACGCGUGGGAAUAUGCCUUUCGGUACGGAACAACUCAGGGAAACUUGAGCUAAUACCGUAUACGCCCUUAGGGGGAAAGAUUUAUCGCCGAAAGAUUAGCCCGCGUAGGAUUAGCUUGUUGGUGAGGUAAUGGCUCACCAAGGCGACGAUCCUUAGCUGGUUUGAGAGAACGACCAGCCACACUGGGACUGAGACACGGCCCAGACUCCUACGGGAGGCAGCAGUGGGGAAUCUUGGACAAUGGGGGAAACCCUGAUCCAGCCAUGCCGCGUGAGUGAUGAAGGCCUUCGGGUUGUAAAACUCUUUCGACGGGGACGAUAAUGACGGUACCCGUAGAAGAAGCUCCGGCUAACUUCGUGCCAGCAGCCGC